GCAAAACCGACUUUAUAUCAAAGCCAAACGACCGUCAUCUUACCUCAGUCACCUCCUCGGCCUCGUAGGAAGGACAUCAUGGCGAUCACGUUGUUCCCUUUCUUUAUCGGCUUUCAUCCACGUGAUGACGGAAUGGCCGCGUGAGAGAGCGACCCCUUUCAUGGACGCGCGUCAGAAGCAGAGAUGCGUGAUUGAAUUCCUCCACGCGGAAGGAGUCGGACCGAUCGACAUCCACCGGCGCCUGGUGAGGGUUUACAGAGCCGAGGCGGUUGACGUCAGCACGGUCAGGAGAUGGGUUCGUCGACUCCGGAGUGGCGACAGGGAUCUGAGCGACAAAUCCCGCUCCGGACGCCCUUGCACGGCCACCACUCGGGAAAAUGAAGUGCGCCUCGAUCAGAUCAUCCGUGCCAAUCGGGAGAUAACGGUGAAUGAAAUGCGCGCAGAGUUGGAUGUGGGCGUCAGUGCACUGGAAACGAUGCUGUCAUCCCUAGGCUACACGGGGGGCGACAGAUGGGUCAAAAGGAAGCGCACAAAGGAGCAAAGUGAUUGACAGAAUGGCAGUCAGGAGAAGCAAAGCAGCUGAAGAUGCAGACGUCCGCAGGCAGAGUGAUGUACAUUCUUCAGGGACAGAAAGGGCAUCAGCCUCAUGGAUUUCGUAGAACCAGGGUCAACCGUCGGCUCUGACUUGCUCUGAAGCGUUGGCCAAGCUCAAGGCCAAAGAGGAGGAACAUUGUUUGCAACACAGCAAUGCCGGCCCACGCAAGUUUUGAAGACCAAGGAAUGUGAGUUUGGCUCGACAGUGCUGCCUCGCCUACCACAUGUUGAUCUGGCACUGUCUGACUUCCACCUAUCCGAGCCUUCGAAGGACGAAUUGUGCAGGCAGCGUUUUCCUGACGUCUACAUCGCCAUGAAGAAGCGAAUAGCCUUGACAGACUUAACCAAUGGUUGAAGGAAAUUGGUGACAUGGCCUGAAUGUGAAGGUGGAAAGCAAGUUGGCAAAAUGGGCGACUGCCCAAAUGAAGUAUGUCAAAAUGCGUUGAAGAUAAAGAUGGUGUGGGAGAAGACAUCUGGACAUCUCGGCAUAGACAAGAUUGUCCAAAGGGGUUGAAUCAGUUAAUUGAUGGACUGUAAGACCAGAUUGCCUGGAAGAGAAUGUGCGGCCUACCUGAUUAAGCUGAAAGAGUUUCCAGGUUGACCAUGAGAAAUUUAUUGAAGCCAAUUAGCAAAAUGGACGACUGCCUGAAUAAUGGAGUUGGAACAACCAAAAGUGAACUGUAAGACUAAGAGUCUGUAGGCAUUAAUAGGCGAGUUUUAAUAAGAUGACGUGUGAUUGAAAGAUGUUCCUUCCAUUGCAUGGAAAGAAUGGUGUGGCAUUGACAACCAAUUUGAUUGGGUGUAUGGUAGAUUGAAGGGAUUGCAGGAGUGAACUGCUAAUAGGGUACUGAAUUGGAUAAGUGGAAUCUCUUCCAUGACUGGAAAGCAACCAAAGAGUGGCUUGACAGGAAAUGUUUGCAAGCCCCGCCCCCUCAGGUGCUGAUCGCUAGUAGUCCAGGGUGCUACUUAUUCGCAGGCUAUUAAGGUCUUUGCUAAUCAGCGGGUUGAAUGCUAAGGACAGCCAUUGAGGUGUUUUGCUGUUCAACGGGUGGUAUAUCUAGAACGGCUAUGGAGGUGAAUUGCGGUUCAACGGGUGGCAUCUCUAAAACGGCUGUGGAGGUGUUUUGCGGAUCAACGAAUGGAAAUGUCUAGGGCGGCCACGGAGACGUUUUUGCUGGACAGCUGGUGGAAUAUCAAGAUCGGAUCCUGAGGUGCUCCCUCUGGAUACAAGCUAGGACACUGAACUCACAAUCAGCUGUUUAGGACUAUGAAAAUACGAGAUGUUUCUCCUGUCACUAGACUAUAAAGUGUAUGUGGUCAGGUAAAGUCUGAAUGAGUAAUGUGAAUAUUUUAGGUAUCACGGGAAUUACAAAUGUGAUGGUAAGGAGGUUUUAGUCUUGUAUAUUUACAGAUAAUAAAAUGGUUUCAAUAUA